UCUUUUGGACGACAACCCCAAUAAGGAGUUCACAAUAUGCUUAUCUUCUUUUGUCUGGAAAGGGGAAAAGAAGCCCUAGCUUUUUCUCUCUUCGAAUUUCAUAAGCAAGAAAUAAGUUUUUGUCUUUUGAGUCUGUAAUUCCAUACUUAUCUAGAGUCAAAUUGGAGUAGCCAACAAGUAAUUCAUGAGGAACUCACUAGUUGGAUCAAGAUACUUGAUCAGUUUGGCAGUUACGUGGACUUUGUAGCUUUGGGACCAGGUUCGGAACCAGAUAAUUAAGUCAUGUGCUAGAGAUGUUACUUGAUGUAUGAUAUGUGUAAAUAGAAAUAAAAUAAAGAACUUGGUGGUGUUUGCUCUUUUGUUUGAAUAAGGAACAAGCAGCUUUAUGUAAAUUUAUGUAAAGUGUACUUUGUAAAACUUGAGAAUUAUCUCUUGGUAAAUAAAUGUGAAUUAUGUUUGAA